GACGAACGCUGGCUGCGUGCUUAACACAUGCAAGUCGAACGAAGUUGCGAACGGGUGAGUAACGCGUAAUCAACCUGCCCUUCAGAGGGGGACACCAGUUGGACACGACUGCUAAUCCCGCAUACUGACGUAGGGGUUUGCGUCUGAUUAGCUAGUUGGAGGGGUAACGGCCCACCAAGGCGAUGAUCAGUAGCCGGUAUGAGAGGAGGAACGGGCACAUUGGGACUGAGACACGGCCCAGACUCCUACGGGAGGCAGCAGUGGGGAAUCUUCCGAAAUGGACGAAAGUCUGACGGAGCAACGCCGCGUGAGUGAUGACGGCCUUCGGGUUGUAAAGCUCUGUUAAUCGGGACGCGGUACCGGAAGAGAAAGCCACGGCUAACUACGUGCCAGCCGCCGCGGUAAUAC
rnacentral:rRNA from 1 species